ACUCUUGAAGAACCUUCAAGUCAGCACGGAAAUGUUGGGCAGCUGGAGGGAAAUAUUACACUUGUUUCUUUUGCUGAUUUAUAGGACAUGGCAAUUGUUGGCAAUGCCCACCCUUAACUGCCAUCGAGAACUUGGUGGUGAGCCGCUUUCAUGAAUGCCUACAGUACCUCUGCUGAUGGUACCACCAGUGCUAUUGGCAGUGGAUCUCUCUGGUGCAGUUGGAGUCAAAGAUCCUAUAGCAAGAUAGACCACUCGACAAAAAAGAUGUAGUACGGUCAUGGGAAGAUUCAUGGGUAAUUUUCGGCCCCAUUUCCGUAACCAGCCUCCGUCUUUGCUUCAGUCUCUGCACUCGUAUCUUUGCUUUGGCCAUGGCGUCCAUGUCUACUAGUGUUGCAUACUGCUCUGCUGUAAAUUGCUCCAAUCGCCAAUGUAGGCUACCCGACUUGUCUUUCUUCAGGUUCCCCACUAAGGAGGAAAGAUGUCAACAGUAGGUUCAGAAUACUCGUCGACAUGAUCUCCUACACUGAACUACGGAGUACUUGUCAAAUAACUGCAGUCUUUGUUCUGAGCACUUCGAACUUGACCAGUUUUCCAACAAGCAGACCAAGAACAGGCUAAAUUGGAAUGCAGUUCCAACGCUCUUUGACAUCCCUAACCCGCCGAAACAACUGUCUAUUAUUCAGCGUUCUAUCAGAUAUUCAGCAUUAAAAAGAGAAAUAAAUCACAAUAAAAGUGAAAAGAUGCCUCUGUUCCUUCCACAGCGUGCGAGGAGUCUGGCCCGGAUCAGCACGGCUGAGACACCAGAGUGAAGUUGCGGGGGGGUUUACAAUGUUUUUUUAUUUAUUAUUGUCCCUUGUCUAGUCCGAAAAAUCAGCAUAAAUGUGUAGACACUAAAGUACAAUGAAGAAAGAAUUUAGAAAGAAUAAAGAAAGAAUCGUUAUAAUUUAAA